CACAUUCAAGUCCAAGUUCUUUGGUGAUGUGCUGGGGAGAGCCCCUGAAGGCCACAAGGAUGUCUGUGUGCUUCUCUCUCCACUUCACUUCUUGGUGAUCUCCCCCACCAAGUGCUGCUGGAGAAAUAUUCAUAAGCAGCACCCACUGCCUCUUGCCUUCUCCUGUAUGUGCGCACACACACACACACACACACACACACACACACUUCUCUUCCUUCCCUAGAGAGGCCCAUGUGAGCAGAUAUACUUUGAAUUAAUCAUUACCAGCUACUUGAGCCAAGUUGAAAAUCAGUUGGUCAUGCCAGUUCCUCGGUGUUAAAAAUCAAUUUUUAAUUCCCUAAAGCUUUUUUUUUUUAAAUUUGUCCUGGCACUUGAAUCAUGCUCGGCCACCUUGCUUUCGCUUGCAUUUUUAUGGGCAUAGCUAGUGACCAUAAAAUUUGUCCUCCAAACUGGGUCACUUCUAAGAACGAAAGAAGGUGCUAAUUACUUUGAGAUGAUGGGUAUAAAUGGAGAGAUGAGGAAGCCUCGUUCACACGGAAUGUACUAGAAGCAGAAAAUGACACUCCCCACCAACAGGAGAAAAUCUCAUUUCCUCCAAAGAAAGACAGGUGCCUGAUGCUAUAAACCAAUCCCAGUGACUGGAGUUCAGACGUUGGCUGGUGUGUAGGUUCACGUGGAGGCCGCCAGAGGUCUGCGGAGCCAACCACACGAAUUCCCAGAACUUGCAGUGGGAGCAGUCACUCUGCCAGCUCCAGCUCAUGUGUGGGGGACAGCCACCAUUUGGGCAGAGGAUGCUAUUCCUUGGUAUCAGUUCCCUGGGGUAAAACAAACAGGAUCACAAUCCUGUCUUGGCUUUCUGCUGAGAGGAAGAACAGGGCUGUCUCUUUAACCCUUAUCAUGGUCACUGUCCAGAAUCAACCAUUACGUGCACGAUCUUGUAUCCUUAGCUCAUCGGGCCCUGGGAGCAGAUGCAAAGUGGAUAUGAUUGUUUAUCCAGGAGGAAACUUGAGUGUGCUCUGUGAAACUGACCUCCCCAAACUCACAUAGCCACUAGAUGACGAGAAUCGAAACCCAUCCCUACUUGUUCGAAAGCCAAAGCCACAUAACCUGUGAUGCUCCUCCCUCCCCAGUGAGAAGGACGCAGAUAGGAAACGGGCAGACUAGAGUGUCUGAACUCUCGGAGGCCAAUGGCUGGAUUUCUAGGCUUCAUCCGGUGCAGUUGACUAAUAGUUUCUUUGUGCCGCACUGUGGAAGGACAAUCCCAACCUUAACACUGUUCCUUUCAAAGAUCUACUGUCUUUGAGUUGAGGCCUCAUUUGUGGUCACCAGGCCCUUAGGGAGCUCUGUGUCAGUGGAAGGAACGUGAUUAAAAUCCCGUCUCAGACACACACAGCCUGUGUGUACUCUUGGUAUGCAUAGUAGGAUCUCAUUUAUUCAGCCAAGACUUGUAUGGUAGCUACCACUAUGGGAUCCUCGUGGCCAUGUUAUAAGAAAGGUUUGCUUUUCCCUCUUAUUUAUCUAGUAGAGCUGGCUAUCAGAGAAAUUAUGUGACUUGCCCAAGGCCACACAGAUUAUUCAUGGCGGUGUUGGGAUUAUAACCCAAUUCUGAAUGGCUUCAAAUCUCAUGUCUCUCCACUUCUUUAUGCUCCUACCUUCCCAUAUGAUACUGCAAUGAACUCAGCUACUGGGCUUAGACAGUCCUACCUUCAUGGAGUGUGCGCAUUAUCCUCUUUAGAAAACAACUACAGGUUAUUUUUCAGCUUAAUGCCAUUAAAAUUUGUGAAAUGUCAUUUAUUUACCAAUUACCCCACCCCUCAUUUCAAACUCCAAGAAUCGGAAGUUGGGCCUACUACAGUCUUCAUUUUCAUUCAUUAAACAAAACAUUGUUCUGAGAAAGUGGCCUGAAAUUUCAAGGAACAGCUGGUGACAUCUUAGAAUAGGCAUUGGGGACUCCACAAAAAAGGUUGGGUUUCUGAUUUUGAACAGAUAAUGGAUUUGGUAAUUGCUUUUUUUCUGGCAUAUUCAAAUAGUCUUGAGAGACAGUGAUUUCUGGGAUGAAAGAAUGUCAGUCAGCUGUGGGACAGUGUCUCUCAAGGUGUAGUACCAAGCCAUCUGACCAGCAAGGCUGGGGUGAUGUCAUGACAUGAUUGGCAGGGCUCCCUCAGAGCCAACUCUUCACCCGUUUCCUGGAUAAGACUCCAUCUAUCAUGAUGACAAAGAAAGAAAAUAAGGGCUGCAGGGAGAUCAGUAAUUUCAUUUUAUUCUUUAUCGUUGCUCACUAAAUUCUCCAAAUUGUUUAUUGAGCAUCUACUCAGUGACACACACUAAGAAUACAAGGAUGAACUAGGUAGAGUGUCCUUUUCAUGUGUUGCACAACUGACUAGAUGGUAGCAAAGCAAACAUAACACUAAGGCAGUUUUCGCUUUAUUACAUCCACAUAAAUGUUAGUUUAGUUUUAUUUUCAUUUAUCUAUAUAACUCUUCUGUGCAUUUUCAAACUCAUACAAAAUUGCAAGAACAAUACAGAUGGCAUUUGUACAUCUUCCAUUUAGACUGAUCAAUCGCUAACACUUUACCACAUGUAUCUCAUGGCUCUUUGUGUGUAAAUUAUUUUCCCUGAAACACUUGAGAGUGAAUCGUAGAUGCUUGACACGUUCAAGUCUACAGGCUUUGGCACAUAUUUAUUAAAGCCGCGGCCUUCUCUUAUAUACCCACAACAGAACCAUUGAAUUCGGGGACUUUAACAUUGAUACAGUACUGUCAUCUCAUGCUCAGUCGACCAACUUUGCCAACAGUCCUGAGAGUGUCUUGCUGGCAGCAACCUCCACCCAACCCAGCCACACGCUCCAGGGCCCGGAUCCCAUCCAAGAUCACCUAUCACCUUUAGUUGUGUCUAGUCUCUGAUCGGGAACAAUUACUUGUGUCAUGUUUCAUGCAAAGGUAUUUUUGAAGGGGGAAGUCCAGUUGUUUUAUUAGUUCAUUGUUUUGAAUGAAAAAAUAGUGUUAUGUACACAGGGCAAUGCAUAAAACUUUCACUGUCUCUAAACUCCUUGAGUUAUGUUAUGUGACAAAGUACUAUGGCGGAUGGUGU
rnacentral:lncRNA from 1 species